rnacentral:rRNA from 1 species
AGAGUUUGAUCCUGGCUCAGAUUGAACGCUGGCGGCAUGCUUUACACAUGCAAGUCGAACGGGGUUAAGGGGCUUGCUCCUUAAUCUAGUGGCGAACGGGUGAGUAAUGCAUCGGAACGUACCCGGGAGUGGGGGAUAACGCACCGAAAGGUGUGCUAAUACCGCAUAUUCUGUGAGCAGGAAAGCAGGGGACCUUAGGGCCUUGUGCUUCCGGAGCGGCCGAUGUCGGAUUAGCUAGUUGGUGAGGUAAAGGCUCACCAAGGCGACGAUCCGUAGCGGGUCUGAGAGGAUGAUCCGCCACACUGGGACUGAGACACGGCCCAGACUCCUACGGGAGGCAGCAGUGGGGAAUUUUGGACAAUGGGCGCAAGCCUGAUCCAGCCAUGCCGCGUGUCUGAAGAAGGCCUUCGGGUUGUAAAGGACUUUUGUCAGGAAGGAAAACCUAUUGGCUAAUAUCCAGUGGGGAUGACAGUACCUGAAGAAUAAGC